rnacentral:rRNA from 1 species
UACCCGCAGCACAAGUGGUGGUCAUUAUUAUUGGGCCUAAAGCGUCCGUAGCUGGCUUGUUAGAUGCCUGGGUAAAUCGAUGCGCUCAACGCAUCGAACUCCGGGUAGACCGGCAAGCUCGAGACCGGGAGAGGUGUAGGCUACUCGGGGGGUAGGGGUAAAAUCCUGUAAUCCUCCGGGGAGGACCAGUGGCGAAGGCGCUACACUAGAACGGCUCUGACAGUGAGGGACGAAGCCCUGGGGCGCAAACCGG